UCACUGGUGGCAUUAUGCUAAGCAUCAGACUCUUAAUCUGAAUGUCAUGGGUUUGAGCCCCAUGUUGGGAG
rnacentral:tRNA from 1 species